rnacentral:lncRNA from 1 species
UCCCAGCCUCCCACUCCCACAGAGUGGUUGAAUAUGCAUAAAUCAAAUGCACUUUAAUUCAAGAACGCUCUCUACUUCAAACAUUAGAGAUGUCUUUUGGCCUCUCAGUUCUAUCCUGAAGCUUGCUUCCUGUUCUGUGCUCAAAACGAGCUCAAAACAAUUGUAUGCCUGAGAUACUGUUUCCAUGGAAGAAGUUUAAUGAAUUCUAGCAACCUUAAUUAGACAAAUUAAAUAGCCACACAAAACCUAUGUCUGGGCACCACCAAUCCUUCUGAUUAUCUAGAAAGACUGGCAAUUUUUUUCUUUCCCGGACAAAGCCCUGUUCUUUUCAAAUUUUUAUUUGUUCUUUGUUGCCUUUCUUCUAUGAAAUGAUUCACUCACUUGGUUGACUUUUGAUGUAGUACCUGAGUGUUUUUAAAAGGCAUGAAGGUUAAAACCUGUUCCAUUUCUGAUACUUUUGCAUGUGGUAAAAUGUAAACUAUUUGAAAUGGCUGAAGUGAAUGCUUGGUGUACAUUUGUAUUGAUAUGUGCGGUGGGAGUGGAGUGCAGGAGGACUGGAGUUCACAACUUCUCAGCAAAGUGUUACACCUCUCAGAACGGACAUCUAGACCACACAGUUACCCUUUUGCUAUGGAUGGGUGUGUCUUCCUCAGUUCUCACUUUGUAGAGCUGCACUUUUUAAAGUUCAGCUCAGACAGCUGCUGGCACAAAGAGGGCCAUACUGAAGACUCCAUGGAGAGAGUAAGAAUGUUCUCCCCUGUGUCUGGACACAGGACGCGUCUUAAGGAAUAAGAGGGCAGCUCGCUGCUUUUGGCGGAGCCCCAGAGUUGGAGCAAGGACCGGCCUGCAGUGGGAGAUGCUGACUUGUGCCACGCUCGGUAUGGAGGGGAGGGAGCCCCUGCUCCGUCCCAGGGCCUACCGGGUUCACACCAGAGUGGCACUGCCAGGGGACCCGGAGCCACCGCAGAGAGUCAGCCCCAAGCGCCACGUGUCUCAGACUCAGGACAGCCUCAGGUAGGACUGCCCUCCCCAGACACCCCGAAGCUGCCAGAGCCUACAAGCACUAAGUCCUUCUGGGGGCUCCAGAGUGCAAGGGCUCUUCUGAACCUGGCUUGGGAGUCAGCCAAGAAUCUGAUGGCAAACGACGAUCUCAGAAUGACUUUGGGAAUUUGGAACUCAGUGCUGGGUGACACCCUCUGUUUCCAUUAUUAUCGUCAUGAUCAUUAACUUCGCAAUUACAUUUAUUUGAACACCUACCCACCAGGCACUGUGCCAAGUACUUUGUUUCUAAUUGUUACAAUUUCUCCAGAAGGUAUUAUUAGCUCCAUGUUACAAAAGUGAAAAUGAGCCCCAGAGAGGCUAAAUAACUUUCUUAAGGCUCACAGCUAGGAAAAGGCUUCCCUUCUCAGCUCCAAAAUCCAUUAAUGACUGCUCAUUACCUAGAGUCGCUGUUUGUAUCCCUAUUUCAAAGAACACGGUGGUGGUGGGGGGGGGUGCCACAGAGGGACUUCAGGAGCCACCUCAAGGGCAAGAUCAUGUGGCAGGUUCCAGGGUUCCUCCCCGCAGAGCACAUUUUGAUGAAGCUUCUCUGAUUUCCUCUAUUUUCGAUACCAGUCAUCCAAGUAAGAUUAAAUUUGAUUUCUUCAGGGCUCUGCUCUAAUAUUUGAAAAAAAAAAGAAAAAAGAAAAAAAGAAAAACAAAGAGUGGAAGGAAUUGAAAUAGGAAGGGAGGGAUGAAGGGCGAAAAAGAUUUUUAAAAAGCCAUUGUCAUAAAGGAGAAAAUCUAAACUUCUCAAUUGUGGUAUUUCAGGACCUUCCGAAACUUUCCCCAAGACAUCAUCCCACCUAUAACCACAAUCCCUGUUCUUGAUUAUUUCAGCUCCCAUCACACUGGCCAAAUUGUUGUUUCUGGAGCUCUCCUCUUGUCUAUUUGCCUCUGUGUCUCUCUUCUUCAGUCUCCCAAGCCUGUGCCCUCCAUUCCUGCUGUUACACAGCUUCUGCCCCUUGAAGACUUCCCUAGUACACCCCGCCUGGAAGUUACUCAGAAGGGUGGAGGGGCAGUGGGUGGGGGUGGGUGGAAGGUGCCACUGGCAUCUGGUGGGUAGGGCCCCUGGGUAGGGCCCCGGGAUGCU